rnacentral:rRNA from 1 species
AUUGAACGCUGGCGGCAGGCCUAACACAUGCAAGUCGAACGAGUGGCGGACGGGUGAGUAAUGUCUGGGAACCUGCCUGAUGGAGGGGGAUAACUACUGGAAACGGUAGCUAAUACCGCAUAACAUCAGAUGUGCCCAGAUGGGAUUAGCUUGUGGGGGGGGUAACGGCUCACCAAGGCGACGAUCCCUAGCUGGGCUGAGAGGAUGACCAGCCACACGGGAACUUAGACACGGUCCAGACUCCUACGGGAGGCAGCAGUGGGGAAUAUUGCACAAUGGGCGCAAGCCUGAUGCAGCAAUGCCGCGUGUAUGAAGAAGGCCUUCGGGUUGUAAAGUACUGUCAGCGGGGAGGCGUUACCCGCAGAAGAAGCACCGGCUAACUCCGUGCCAGCAGCCGCGGUAAUUC